GGUGGUAAAAAGAUAUUUUCAAAAAGUUAUUGAAACAAAUUGAUAUGAAAUAAUAGUAUUCAGAAUAAACCAGCCCUAGUGUCUGCCUUCUCGACUUCAACCUUUCUCAUCUGUUCGGCGUUCGCCGUACUACGCGACCUUUUCAGGAGUCAUACUCAGCUAACUUUCUUUUGCAUGGCAAAAAGACCGGAUCCAGAUGAUGAUGAUGAUUUCAGUGAACUGUACAAGGAAUAUACUGGCCCACCAGGAACUACACUUGCCAGUUCUGUAGAGAGGGCAAAACCAAGCAAGCGUUCUCAUGCAGGUUCAGAUGAGGAAGAGGAACCACGUGACCCAAAUGCUGUCCCGACCGAUUUCACUAGCAGAGAAGCUAAGGUUUGGGAGGCUAAAUCAAAAGCUACUGAAAGGAAUUGGAAGAAAAGGAAAGAAGAAGAAAUGAUUUGCAAAAUAUGUGGAGAAUCGGGUCACUUUACUCAGGGUUGCCCCUCUACUCUUGGAGCAAAUCGCAAGUCUCAAGAUUUUUUUGAAAGGGUACCUGCCAGAGAAAAGCACAUCAAAGCACUUUUCACAGAGAAAGUUAUACAAAGGAUUGAAAAGGACAUAGGUUGCAAAAUUAAAAUGGAGGAGAAAUUUAUAAUUGUCAUUGGCAAGGAUAGGUUGGUUUUGGCAAAAGGUGUGGAUGCAGUGCACAAAGUAAUUAAGGAGGUGGGUGAUCAGAGAGGUUCAUCUAAUUCUCACAGGAGCAGAUCUAGGUCAUCUGAACGAAGUCCUGUUGGUACACGCUUGCGACGCUCUGAAUCCCAAAGGUCUCAUUCUGGUUCACAUAAUGCAUCACAGUUUCACCAGCGGUUUGGUAGGCAAGAUAAGGUUGUUGAAAACCGUGUUCGUGAGGAUCUUCAGAAAAUUUCAAGGGGUUCUCCACAAGCAAGAGCUUAUGUUAAUGAUGGAGCUAGAAGUCGUCCAAGCCAUUCUAAAUCUCCUGGUGGCCCCCCUUAUACUGGCAGCUUGUACAAUUCAUAUGAUGGCCAUGAUCAGAACAUGGUUGGUUAUAGGAAUGAUGGAUGGGAUACUGAGAGACGAGGAUCUGAUUUGCAUUCAAGUCAUCAGAUGGAACACCCUACCUUUUUGCAGACAUUAGAAGAUUUAGACGUGGAGUAUAAGAGAGAAGCAAUGGAACUUGGGAGAAUUCGGGACAAGGAAGAAGAUGAAGAGAAUUACAAGCAUCGUGAGACUAUAAGGGAGAUGAGAGAGAGUCACACUAAGAAACUGACUCUUCUAAGAGGCAUGCAUGCAAAACAGUGGGAGGAUUUUCUUCAACUUGAUGCUCAAAGGCGUCAACAGCAAGCACAAGAGCAAAUGUCUACCCUAGGUUUUGGUGGUUAUAAGCAGCAUAACUAUUCCAGCUAUGAUGGUUCUUCAACCAAUCCUCACUAUGCUGGGGCCAGUGUAUCUAUGGAUUCAAGGGCCAGGUAUACAAACCCAAUGGAAGAUUAUCAUCCAUCAAGGUCUCAUGACAGCUAUGGUGGGUUUCAACGUCAAAGACGGGAAAACUUUGGGAAAACUUACAAUCGAUACUAAUUUGCCAUACAGGUGCAGGAUUUUUUCGAUUGUUUGAGGUUUAUUGCAUUGGUAGUGAGAUUUGUUAAAAGUCAAGGAUUGAUCUAUGAUUUGCAGCAGAUCUUUUUAUAUUUAUCAAAUUAGAGGUGAGAGACAGCUAUUAUAGAGAUUUCCGUUGAAUGGAUCAUCUUGCUUCAAAAGAAAGGCAUCUUGAAGCAGAUCCCGAAAGUGCUGAGAUAAGUGAAGCGGACAGAACCAAGGAUACAGUUUCAGCAAAUAGACAAACAAAUAGAAUUAUCAGUUGGAUUUGGACUGGGCAAUUUAGCUCUGAUGCAUCUGUCCAUGGUAAUUGUGGCAACUUGUAUUGCAAUUCAUCAAAAUUUGGUGAGGCUGUGGGUGAGAAUGCGGAGUUGAUGAUGGACAAGAAUUCAGAAGAAGAGGGUAAUAAGAAAGUGGGCAAUUCAGAGAAGAAGUGCAUGGAAGGGAAGUGUAAGAAGACCAACUCUAAAAUGUCUCCUAAGCCACCACGACCUCCCAAAGGUCCAACACUAGAUGCUGCUGACCAGAUGCUGGUUAGGGAAAUAGCUGAGAUUGCUGCGAGAAAGCAUGCCAGGAUUGAACGAGUCAAAGCAUUGAAAAAAAUGAAAGCAGCGAAGGCUUCAGCUUCCAAUAGUACUCUACUCGGCAUGAUCAUCACACUAGUCUUCUGUAUUAUUAUAGUCUUUCAAGGAUUGUGCUCCAGAAACAGUAGCAGUUUGAGCGUGCUGGGGUCUCCUGCACCAGCGGUCACUGCCAGUGAAGCUUGAUUUCUGCUCAGUUUUACAAAAGCUUCUCUGCCUAUGGAAGCGAUGGAUCUGGCUCUGGUUCUCCCAAGUGCGAUAUUAUAAUUUUUGUUUUAUAUUAUUUAUUUAUUUUUUACGUCUAAUGAAAGAACUGUCUUUUUUUUUCCAUGCAUUUCAUUGCAUAUGAGAAUUCAAUGAGACCAAUGUGCCUAUUCCCUCAAAUUCUAUCGUUCAUUUGCUGUGGACAUGGCAAUGCAGUUCGGCAAAAAGACAGGUUUCUGGUUCACCUUCCAAGGACGUAUCAAAGUAAAGUUCCCUGGCGAGAGUGAAACUCCAUUCAAGAUGCAAAUCAUUGAUGCUUCCCAUAUCAUGGCAGUUGAUUCGUAUGAAGUUAUGAACCCUUGUAACUGAUGUUGAGUCUGCAACUAACCACUCUGAUUACUGUAAUUAUGUAUCGACCACUACGUUCCACUAGUUUCCUUUAAAAUUUUCCUUCUUUACAGUAGUUUCUAGUCCAAACUGAAGUUUUGUUUGUACAAUGAAUUAAAUUUGUAGUGUUCAAAAGUAAGAUGGAUUGAUCAUAUAAUGUGCUUGUUCA